rnacentral:rRNA from 1 species
AACAAACGCUGGCGGCGUGCCUAAUACAUGCAAGUCGAACGGGGAAAGCUUUCGGGUGAGUACUAGUGGCGCACGGGUGAGGAACGCGUGGAUAAUCUGCCUUAGAGUGGGGGAUAACUAGUCGAAAGAUUAGCUAAUACCGCAUAAGACCACAGGAGCUGUGGCUCUAGGGGUCAAAGGUUUUUCGCUCUAAGAUGAGUCCGCGUAAGAUUAGCUAGUUGGUGAGGUAACGGCUCACCAAGGCGACGAUCUUUAACUGGUCUGAGAGGAUGAUCAGGCACACUGGAACUGAGACACGGUCCAGACUCCUACGGGAGGCAGCAGUAGGGAAUAUUGCACAAUGGAGGAAACUCUGAUGCAGCGACGCCGCGUGAGUGAUGAAGGCCUUCGGGUCGUAAAGCUCUGUCGCAGGGGAAUAACACAAUGAAUGUACCCUGUAAGAAAGGAUCGGCUAACUUCGUGCCAGCAGCCGCAGUAACAC